rnacentral:rRNA from 1 species
AAACCAACAGGGAUUGCCUCAGUAACGGCGAGUGAAGCGGCAACAGCUCAAAUUUGAAAUCUGGCCCUAGGCCCGAGUUGUAAUUUGCAGAGGAUGCUUUUGGUGCGGUGCCUUCCAAGUUCCCUAGAACGGGACGCCAGAGAGGGUGAGAGCCCCGUACAGUUGGACACCAAGCCUUUGUAAAGCUCCUUCGACGAGUCGAGUAGUUUGGGAAUGCUGCUCAAAAUGGGAGGUAUAUUUCUUCUAAAGCUAAGUACCGGCCAGAGACCGAUAGCGCACAAGUAGAGUGAUCGAAAGAUGAAAAGCACUUUGAAAAGAGAGUUAAAAAGUACGUGAAAUUGUUGAAAGGGAAGCGUUUAUGACCAGACUUGGGCUUGGUUAAUCAUCUGGGGUUCUCCCCAGUGCACUUUUCCAGCCCAGGCCAGCAUCAGUUUUCGGCGGGGGAUAAAGACUUCGGGAAUGUGGCUCCCCUCGGGGAGUGUUAUAGCCCGUUGUGUAAUACCCUGGCGGGGACUGAGGUUCGCGCUACUGCAAGGAUGCUGGCGUAAUGGUCAUCAACGAC